UACAAGGAUACUUUGAUCAAUGUAUUAGUUUCUGCCACGUAAACUGUUUUUAUGACAAUAAAAGGAGAGCUCUCACAAGCUGUUGAGAGUGCCUUCACAACCUUCUUCUUCCUGCCUGCGUGCCUUUUCUUCUUCACCACAACAAAUAUGCAUCUUAGAAAAGUUCCUGGAGUCAACACAGCAAGAAGGAAACCUACUAGUGAAAAGACGUGACCCGACAAAAGCGCGCAUGACAAAAGCACGCCGACAAAACCGCGUCACUAAAACAGCGACGUCAUCAACGCGCCAACAGCGUGUCGACAGAAGGGCUCUUUACAACAGCGUGUCGACAGAAAGCCGAUUUAAGUUAAGAGCACAUGGACUGCAUAUUCCCCUGGCUCCUGGGGCCAGUAGCGCACAUCGCAGGAGCCAUCUCCCUUGUCAUCACACUCGAUC